CCCCUCUCGGGGUCUCACCUGGAGAGCUUCCAGUCCUCUACCAGUCUAGACUAUGGGAGGGAGAGUCAAGCAGAGGCCUGUCCAUUCCAUUCCUAGCUUGGGCAGUGGCUAGCGAGUGAAAGGCCAUCCGCUACAAGU
rnacentral:snoRNA from 1 species